rnacentral:lncRNA from 10 species
UGACAAAGCGCAGGACCCCUCACUGCCCCAACUGCUUGCUGUUCUCUCUUUCUUGGGCUCUAAGGACCCAGGAGUCUGGGUGCACAGCCUCCUUCUCUCUGAGAUUCAAGAGUCUGAUCAGCAGCCUCUUCCUCCUCCAGGACCCAGAAGCCCUGAGCUUAUCCCCAUGGAGCUCUGCCGGUCCCUGGCCCUGCUGGGGGGCUCCCUGGGCCUGAUGUUCUGCCUGAUUGCUUUGAGCACCGAUUUCUGGUUUGAGGCUGUGGGUCCCACCCACUCAGCUCACUCGGGCCUCUGGCCAACAGGGCAUGGGGACAUCAUAUCAGGCCACGGCCCGCUUGUCUCAACCACCGCAGCCUUUGCUGCAGGUAAGGACUCUGGACUGGACUGGGGCAUCGCGAGCCAGCGAAUUCCUGCCGAGGAGCUGAGCCAUCUCUCUUGUCCUUGUCCCCAGCCAUCUCCAUGGUGGUGGCCAUGGCGGUGUACACCAGCGAGCGGUGGGACCAGCCUCCACACCCCCAGAUCCAGACCUUCUUCUCCUGGUCCUUCUACCUGGGCUGGGUCUCAGCUAUCCUCUUGCUCUGUACAGGUGCCCUGAGCCUGGGUGCUCACUGUGGCGGUCCCCGUCCUGGCUAUGAAACCUUGUGAGCAGAAGGCAAGAGCGGCAAGAUGAGUUUUGAGCGUUGUAUUCCAAAGGCCUCAUCUGGAGCCUCGGGAAAGUCUGGUCCCACAUCUGCCCGCCCUUCCAGCCCUUCCCCAGCCCCUCCUCUUGUUUCUUCAUUCAUUCAACAAAAUUUGGCUGGAAUCUGGUUAUUUUGA